AAAAAUUAAUUUAAUCGUACCGAUAACCGCAUCAGGUCUCCAAGGUGAGUAGCUUCUGGCCAUUGAGUAAUGGUAAUUUAGGGAAUUCGGCCAAUUAGAGCUGUAACUUCGGGAUAAAGCUUGGCUCUGAUGGAAAUCAGAACCGAUAGUUACAAGGAGAGCCCAACUGUUUAAUAAAAACUUAGUGUCGCGUCAUACCUUUAUAAGUAAUAAACGUGACAUGAAUCCUGCUCAGUGCUGUGUUUGUUAAACUGGAUUAAUCCAUUUAAGCGCCGGUAAAUAGCUGGGGUAACUAUGACUCUUAUCAAAGUAGCGAAAUACCUCGUCACUUAAUUAGUGACCUGCAUGAACGGAGCUAUGAGGUUCUCACUGUCCCAAAUUAUCACUCAGCGAACCAACAGUUGUGGGAACGGGCACAAAUUAUCCAGCGGGGAAAGAAGACCCUGUAGAGCUUCACUUUGGUCUAAUCUUGUAUAGUUUCGUUAGGGGUGCAGUCUAGGUGGGAGAUUUUUAAUCAAAUAUGAGAAACCACUACCCUUUCUGGAAUUAUACUUACUAAAAUUCUUUUCUAAAUUUUAGGAUCGGAUUAGAUAGAAAGUUUGGCUGGGGCGGCACACCUUCGAAAAAGCAGCGAAGGUGUCCUAAGUUAAGCUCAGUAAGGACAGAAAUCUUACGUUGAGGAUAAGGCCAAAAGCUUAAUUUACUGUGCCUUUUUGUACUAGGAUCAGUUUGGAAACAAAGGCCUAACGAUCCCUAAUUAGUCUUAGGUGUGUAAGACUUGGGGUGACAGACAAGUUACCUCCGGGACAACUGGCUUGUGGCUGCUAAGAGAUCAAAUCAACGCAGCUUUUUGAUUCUUCGAUGUCGGCUCUUCCUAUCCUAGUGAUGUACAAGUCACUAAGGGUUGGAUUGUUCACCCGUAUUAGGGAUCGUGAGCUGGGUUUAGACCGUCGUGAGCCAGGUUUGUUUUAUCCUACUGGAUAUAAUUUAGCAUCUUGAUAGUAGUUUGAUUUAGUACGAGAGGAACUGUUGAAUAUGGUCUCUGGUUUGGGAAUUUUAUGAAAAUAAAAGUUCCAAAGCUACGCCGUCUGAGAUAAUGGCUGAAGGCCUCUUAAGCCAGAAACUCAUCUAAAAAUAGAUGCUUUAAACUAUUUA
rnacentral:rRNA from 1 species